rnacentral:rRNA from 1 species
AGAGUUUGAUCCUGGCUCAGGAUGAACGCUGGCGGCGUGUCUAAGGCAUGCAAGUCGAACGAAUGUUGUCGCAAGACAAUAUGAGUGGCAAACGGGUGCGUAACACAUUGGUAACCUGCCCUUGUCACGGUGACAACUCCGCGAAAGCGGAGCUAAUCACCGAUGGUUUCCACGAUCGUAUGGUUGUGGAAUAAAGGUUUCGCAAGAAAUCGGACAAGGAGGGGCCUAUGGUCUAUCAGCUUGUUGGUGAGGUAAUGGCUCACCAAGGCGAUGACGGAUAGCGGGUGUGAGAGCAUGACCCGCCUCACUGGGACUGAGACACUGCCCAGACUCCUACGGGAGGCUGCAGUCAAGAAUCUUCCUCAAUGGCCGAAAGGCUGAAGGAGCGACGCCGCGUGCAGGAUGAAACCCUUCGGGGCGUAAACUGCUUUUCUCAGGGAAAAACUCUGAUGGUACCUGAGGAAUAAGGGGCUGCUAACUUCGUGCCAGCAGCAGCGGUAAUACGAAGGCCCCAAGCGUUAUCCGGAAUUACUGGGCGUAAAGAGUUCAACGGCGGCAUGAAAAGUUCUCUGUAAAAUCCUGGGGCUCAACCUCAGAUUAGCGGGGAAAACUGGCAUGCUUAGAGGUCGGAAGAGGCAAGCGGAAUUACCGGUGUAGUAGUAAAAUGCGUUAAUAUCGGUAGGAACGCCAAUUGCGAGAGCAGCUUGCUGGGACGUACCUGACGCUAUACGAACGAAAGCGUGGGGAGCGAUACGGAUUAGAUACCCUGGUAGUCC